rnacentral:lncRNA from 1 species
GUCUAGACCACUGAUGGGCUGAAUUCCUAUGAGUGGGGAUGAGACCCUCAAUCUCCCUGUGCCACUCGGGGGCUCUUCACCUUGUGCCUUGCCUUGAGGAAUGCGAGCUUCUCCAGAGAAGCUGUGGCUUCCCGCGUCUCAGCACCCAGCGCGCUUCCCAGCGCCCAGCACGCUGAUUUGAAACUCUCUCAAUAAGUGUGCCAAUUAAGUUUUGUUGAUAAAUAAUUAAGAAAUAAAUCAGAAUAGUCUCUCUGGUGCACGAGCCUUCCUAUUCGCUCUCAGUGAAUUCUUGGUUUGAAAAUGCAGCAGUGUGGUAGACCAGAAACAAGGUCAGAACUCCAGUACAGAAUAGACAGGUGGUUUGUCUUCUCCUGAGGAAGUGGAUGCCAUGUGUCACUUUGCAGAUGGAUCAAGUGCAGGAGGUGGUGCCUGUUGGAGACGCAGAGCUCUGCAGCAGCAGGUGAGCUGAUGCUGCAACCUGCUAAACGUCGCUCCUGCGGAGCACCAGGGCCCAGAGUGCACAUGGCUCUCAGGCUCUGUGAAAAGCUUGCAGUGAGCUCAGCCACUGAAAAGUCACUACGAAGAUGGAAAGCAAAAUGCAAACCGAGUCCUCGGUACCCUAUGUUUAUCUGUCUCUAAGAGAACAUCCUCGAGUUUAUUUAUGAUUUGAGUACUUCAUAAGAAAAGUAGUAUAAAAUAGAAAAUAAUGUGUUGAUGUCCUAUAUAAGUGAAUCUACUCAAUACAAUUUAUAAAGCAUAUGCUUCUACAGAAAUGUCUUUGUACUUAGAAAUGACACUUUAGUUAACUUCUUAGCCAAUCCUUGGACAUUUGAGUAUAAAACAAAAUGGAAGUGGCUCCAGCCAGCGCCAAGAGACCCUGGGAGGUUUGCACUGUGUGCUCUGCAGGGGCCAGGUAUCCUUCAUCACAGCAGCAGCCUGCGUGGCCCAGCACAGCCUGCAACUGCAGAACCAGAGCUCACCGUGGCUGCUCCCCAUUUACAGUUUAUGCCAAAAUCUAGGUCACUUGAGUUCUCAAGUGAGUUCUUAAUCAGGGAGUACAUGGAUAAGGCCAACAUGCCAUCGGAGAGCAGCCAGGGCCCCCAGGAUUGACCCUGAUCCCUGUCUCUCUUCAGGCCACUGCCUCCCCCAACCCCAGGAUACCUCAGGCCUGGCACUUAGGCCCACAGCGGAGGGCAUGUUCCCCCACUUCGACCUACCCCAAGACAGGCCUCUCCCUGUGAAUACUGACAAUGGAAAAUGUUUCCUUCUGCCAAGGGAAUCCCGUGGCCCUCACAGGAGUGUGGGUUUGGCCUUGGGUCUGAAUAGAUGGCUGCAUGACUGCCUGGGUCUUGCCGCUCAGAGGCUGAGCACUCUAGCCUGCAGGAAUAGUGGGGAUGGGGGUCUACACACCAAGCCCUGGUGGACUCUGCUGGGUGGGGCAGUGCCUUCCUCUGUCUGUUGUCAAGGAGGCUGUAAAAAUACUGUGGCUCAAUCUCGUCCAUGGCUACAGAGUUGCAUGCAGAAGCCAAAGGUGCCUGGUUUUGCCUUAGUAUUUUUCACGUAGAAAGAGAAGAGACAAGUACAUUCGUUUAGAAGAAACUCACCAGGAAAAGCAAGCACGGACUGACUUUUUAGGCGUGUGAGCUGGAUGGGAGGAAAGGCAGUGGUUGGUUGGAGGAGGGGAUGACUGUUUUGCUCAGAGCCUCCUUCAGUUCAAUUAGUCCGUCUUCCAUCUUCACCUGCACCUGUAGACACCGCUUCCGGGAGCUGUUCUGUGCAGAAGUUGAGUGAAGAUACUGCAGCGAGCCCUGGGUCUGAACGCCUGUGUGCUGAAUCUAGACCUGCUCCUCAGCCCCAGUUUUCUCUGAAAAACCAGGAUUCUAGCACAACUCGUACCCCCAUUCUUUUCAGUCCUGCACCCACCAGCGAGCUGCAAGGCCCAGGAGCUACUGGCCCUGUUUUCCUGUCUCCAGGACUAGCCUUUGAUUUAUGAGAUGUCCCCUGUCUCCCCUGCUUCUGACCUCCCAGGAUGGCAUUUGGUGAUUUCUUGAUGUUCUCUUGCUUUGGCAUUAAAAUAUGGAUGGGAGUGUCAUUUCCAGAUCUUUUCCAGACCUGUGCAAUUCUUUCCAUUCUUCAUAACAGCCCAUGACCCACCUUCCUCUGUUUCAGCCACAAAGCUAGCCAUGCCUGUGUCCGCACUGCUGUUUCUCAUUGUUAACAUUUUAACUGUUAUU